AAUGUCAUAUAUGGUCAAAUCCAGGCCAAGAGCCAGGACAGGGUUCACCUGCAAACCCAGCACCAAGGCAGUGCUGUGGGGGGGGCCCAGCCGGGCCCCUGAUGCACUGGGGCUAAACCUUGGAAGACUUGAAAUGAAAACCAAACCCAAACCAAACCCUUUAUCGGGCUCCCAUUGCUAGUAGAUGAGGGUAUAUUUAAAUUAAUUUUCUAACCUUGUUGGCUAGUACAUGGCCUGUAUCCUGAAGCCAGACUAUCUCUUGAGCUCUCACUUGCUAACGCAGCUCCCAACAAGGGCUCUGCCACCCCCCAUUACAGCUCUCUCACACCGCCCUCAUCCCCCCACAGGCCCAGUGGGUAGCACUGUGGGGCAGCUUUUCACUCGGAAGGGUGAAAUUUGUUGUAGGCCUGGGCUCCCUGUGCUGUGUAAGGGGCCCUCACACGUCCUGGGUGAGCCCUGAGGAAGGGCAGUACCUCCCCAGUAACAGCGCUGGCAAAAACACACAAAACAAGAAGAUUAUCUAAAGCUAGUUCUGGGGACAGCCCCCUCUGCACUGAGACAAGUGACAACUGCAGGAUGAACCAUUUCCUUUAACAGUUGCAUCAGCCCCCUCUCUGAAGAAAACAUAAAACUUCUGAAGCCAAGUCACUCUGAAAUUUGGGAAGCAGCUUUUCUAGCUGAAGUUUGUCUUUGCUGCAGCAGAGCAACCUAAAGCACUUGACUAUUAC